rnacentral:rRNA from 1 species
UACGUAGGGUGCGAGCGUUAAUCGGAAUUACUGGGCGUAAAGCGUGCGCAGGCGGUGAUGUAAGACAGAUGUGAAAUCCCCGGGCUCAACCUGGGAACUGCAUUUGUGACUGCAUCGCUGGAGUGCGGCAGAGGGGGAUGGUAUUCCGCGUGUAGCAGUGAAAUGCGUAGAUAUGCGGAGGAACACCGAUGGCGAAGGCAAUCCCCUGGGCCUGCACUGACGCUCAUGCACGAAAGCGUGGGGAGCAAACAGG